CUCCCAGUUUGAUCCCAGUCCCCUCCCAGUGUUCACAGUAACCCCAGUCCAUCCCAGUAUCCCCCAGUUCCUCCCCAGUCCAUCCCAGUAUAUCCCAGUUCCCUCCCAGUCCAUCCCAGUCCCUCCCAGUUCCCUCCCAGUUCCAUCCCAGUUUAUCCCAGUCCCUCCCAGUUUAUCCCAGUUCCCUCCCAGUUUAUCCCAGUCCAUCCCAGUCCCUCCCAGUUUAUCCCAGUCCAUCUCAGUUUAAUCCCAGUCCCUCCCAGUCCAUCCCAGUCCCUCCCAGU
rnacentral:lncRNA from 1 species